GGGUAACAGGAGGGUAACAGCAGGGUAACAGGAGGGUAACAGCAGGGUAACAGCAAGGUAACAGCAGGGUAACAGGAGGGUAACAGCAGGGUAACAGGAGGGUAACAGCAGGGUAACAGGAGGGUAACAGGAGGGUAACAGCAGGGUAACAGGAGGGUAACAGCAGGGUAACAGGAGGGUAACAGGAGGGUAACAGCAGGGUAACAGGAGGGUAACAGCAGGGUAACAGGAGGGUAACAGCAGGGUAACAGCAGGGUAACAGGAGGGUAACAGCAGGGUAACAGGAGGGUAAUGUCAGAUCUCUG